GGGAAGAUUGUCUUGCUAAAGCUGUUGGACAGUGGAUAAUUCAAUCCUAAUCAAAUUAGCAGAGUAAAGUAACAGGCUCUGCAGGCUUGGAGCUGCAAACACAAGAUGCCUCAGGCUUAAGGAGAGAGCUAAAACUGCAGGCACGGGAGUUCACAACGAAGUACCGACACGAAAACACUAUUCCGACGCCGUGCGGAAAGUCGGGGGCUCUGAAACCGUCUACGGUGCCUCAGGGUUACAUACACCCCAGCCGUGGUCUUCCCCCUCCUGCUUUACACACAGGUGACAUUUGUGAUCACCAUGUGGUGAGCAGAGGAAACUCCCCUCUCUUCCACCCUCAUGUCAGGACCCUGGGCUCAAGGAGCAAAGGUGGGAUGAGCAGAAACACAGACUCUUCUGACCACCCCAGUUUCCGAACAUGGGGGUUUUGUGCUCUAAAUUGAGCCACUGCUUAUAAAGUAUCUGCAAUAAAUCCAAACAGUGGGAUGGAGACAGAGAUUGACUAAGUGAAACCUGCCCUAAGCGUGCACCCAAGAGAUCAACAGAAAUCAAUUGUCUUGCAGAGGUGUGUCUCCUGCUUCAGAAUGCUGUUCACUACUGCAGACCUCCCAAAGAAGCCUGUGUACGUGUUUUUGAUUGGCUGGUUGCUACCACAACUAUUGUUUAUUAAUCAACUUUUUGGGUGGGGAACCAACUGUCCUGUCUGUCUCGGAACUCACAUGCCAAGGUUCUGGUCCAUGCGUGGAGCUCCUGGACACAGUGCCAGCCCAUAUAUUAUGACUUACAUGCCAGGAAUAAAUUUUCUUCUUCUCUAGCCGUGCUGGCUGUCCAGGUCCUUGUCUGCCGUAAGGAUGGAAAACUGUCAGGUCCCAGCUCCAAAAAUCCUUCCUGUUCCCUCCUCUGUGCUUCAACCCACGCUGGCCUAGUUUUGAAGCGCGCUGGAUAAUGGAUGUGAGCAGCUAUAAUUUCCUUCCCAUGUAAGAUAACGUGCCCUAAUAUUAAUAUUUCUACUAUUAAUUUCUAGGCGACCUCAAGCUUUUUAGCAAUUUAUUAAAUCCAGGUGGGCACUAAAAAAAUAGUGAGUAUUGGCAGGCCCUCUGAUAAUAACAAAUAAGUGAAAAUGGCUGUUCUUUACAAUUUUGCUGAGAAACUAUUUUUGUCCUUGGGCAGCAUUUUGUUACUAUGCUUGCAUGCGUCGGUGUUUCCUACUGAGCUGGCUAUAUCGUUCUAUAGAUAUAACAAUACGUAUGCACGCAUGCAUUAUCUAUAUAUCUCUUGUUUGCUAAACCUGAAGUAAUUUCUGUAAUUAUACACAUAAUGUAUUUUAUCCAAAUACACAAAGAAGAUUUUUUUUUAAAUGCCACUUAGGAUCUAGAUUUAACUUAAACCAC